AACGAACGCUGGCGGCAUGCCUAACACAUGCAAGUCGAACGAGACCUUCGGGUCUAGUGGCGCACGGGUGCGUAACGCGUGGGAACCUGCCCUCAGGUUCGGAAUAACUCCACGAAAGGGGUGCUAAUACCGGAUAAUGUCUUCGGCCCAAAGAUUUAUCGCCUUUGGUUGGGCCCGCGUUGGAUUAGCUAGUUGGUAGGGUAAAAGCCUACCAAGGCGACGAUCCAUAGCUGGUCUGAGAGAAUGAUCAGCCACACUGGGACUGAGACACGGCCCAGACUCCUACGGGAGGCAGCGGUGGGGAAUAGUGGACAGUGGGCGAAAGCCUGAUCCAGCAAUGCCGCGUGAGUGAUGUAGGCCGUAGGGUUGUAAAGCUCCUUUACCCGGGAUGAUAAUGACAGUACCGGGAGAAUAAGCUCCGGCUAACUCCGUG
rnacentral:rRNA from 1 species